rfam:Sinorhizobium saheli strain LMG 7837 scaffold29, whole genome shotgun sequence.
GUCGCCGCGCGGAGGGGUCUGCUGUAAGCAAAGCGCCGGCCUGACGAACAGGACGCGCAUAGGAGGCGUCCGCUUCCGGGCGAGGGGGCCCAAAGACCCGAAGCCCGGUAUCACCGGAAGGUGCGGCCGAAGAUGCGCCGGGUAUGCCGGUAGAGAUAGUCGC